rnacentral:rRNA from 1 species
AUUGAACGCUGGCGGCAGGCUUAACACAUGCAAGUCGAGCGGUAACAGAGAGAAGCUUGCUUCUCUGCUGACGAGCGGCGGACGGGUGAGUAAUGCCUAGGAAUCUGCCUAGUAGUGGGGGAUAACUUGCCGAAAGGUAAGCUAAUACCGCAUACGUCCUACGGGAGAAAGGAGGGGACCUUCGGGCCUUUCGCUAUUAGAUGAGCCUAGGUCGGAUUAGUUAGUUGGUGAGGUAAUGGCUCACCAAGACCGCGAUCCGUAACUGGUCUGAGAGGAUGAUCAGUCACACUGGAACUGAGACACGGUCCAGACUCCUACGGGAGGCAGCAGUGGGGAAUAUUGGACAAUGGGGGGAACCCUGAUCCAGCCAUGCCGCGUGUGUGAAGAAGGCCUUAUGGUUGUGAAGCACUUUAAGCGAGGAGGAGGCUACUUUAGUUAAUACCUAAAGAUAGUGGACGUUACUCGCAGAAUAAGCACCGGCUAACUCUGUGCCAGCCGCCGCCGUAA